UGGGGUAUUGUGUGUAGAUUGAGGAAAAUCUAUUGAAUCCAUUCUCGAAUAAGGCUGUGGGAAAAAGUCCAGGGUUUGAAUAGUUUACGAAUGCACACAGACUUGACAGAAAACACACUGCUCUACUUUCUCUUGUACACUAAGGACCAGAUAAAGAGUUGGAGAGAAGAAGGUUCCUAUUUGAAAAACCUAGAAAAAAAAUAAGUAACUAGAGAAGGUUGGAGACCCCUGGUAUACAGGAAGUAUGCAGCUCAGACGUGUGUGUGGUUGGAGACCCCUGGUAUACAGGAAGUAUGCAGCUCAGACGUGUGUGUGGUUGGAGACCCCUGGUAUACAGGAAGUAUUCAGCUCAGACGCGUGUGUGUGGUUGGAGACCCCU
ensembl:lncRNA